rnacentral:rRNA from 1 species
GACGAACGCUGGCGGCGUGCUUAACACAUGCAAGUCGAACGGAAAGGCCCGCCUUUGUUGGGUUCCCGGGGUGCGAACGGGGGAAGAAACCCUGAGUUACCUGGCCUUGACCUUGGGGUAACCUCAAGGAACUGGGGCCAAUACCGGGUUGGAGCCCCUGCUGCAUGGGGGGGGGUGGGAAGUUUCGGCGGUUGGGGAUGGACUCGCGGCUUAUCAGCUUGUUGGUGGGGUAGUGGCUUACCAAGGCUUUGACGGGUAGCCGGCCUGAGAGGGUGACCGGCCACAUUGGGACUGAGAUACGGCCCAGACUCCUACGGGAGGCAGCAGUGGGGAAUAUUGCACAAUGGGCGGAAGCCUGAUGCAGCAACGCCGCGUGCGGGAUGACGGCCUUCGGGUUAUAAACCGCUUUCGCCUGUGACGAAGCGUGAGUGACGGUAAUGGGUAAAGAAGCACCGGCUAACUACGUG